rnacentral:rRNA from 1 species
GGUUGAUCCUGCCAGUAGUCAUAUGCUUGUCUCAAAGAUUAAGCCAUGCAUGUCUAAGUAUAAAUGAAUUUAUAUAGUGAAACUGCGAAUGGCUCAUUAAAUCAGUUAUAGUUUAUUUGAUAGUACCUUACUACUUGGAUAACCGUAGUAAUUCUAGAGCUAAUACAUGCAUCAAACCCGACUUUUCGGAAGGGUUGUAUUUAUUAGAUACAAAACCAAUACACCUUCGGGUGCUAUUUCGGUGAUUCAUAAUAACUUCGCGAAUCGUAUGCCUUCGGGCGACGAUGAUUCAU